rnacentral:rRNA from 1 species
AUUGAACGCUGGCGGCAGGCCUAACACAUGCAAGUCGAGCGAGUGGCGGACGGGUGAGUAAUGUAUGGGAACCUGCCCGAUGGAGGGGGAUAACUACUGGAAACGGUAGCUAAUACCGCAUACCAUCGGAUGAACCCAGAUGGGAUUAGCUAGUAGGUGGGGUAACGGCUCACCUAGGCGACGAUCCCUAGCUGGUCUGAGAGGAUGACCAGCCACACUGGAACUGAGACACGGCCCCGACUCCGACGGGAGGCAGCAGUGGGGAAUAUUGCACAAUGGGCGCAAGCCUGAUGCAGCCAUGCCGCGUGUAUGAAGAAGGCCUUCGGGUUGUAAAGUACUUUCAGUGAGGAGGCGGUACUCGCAGAAGAAGCACCGGCUAACUCCGUGCCAGCAGCCGCGGUAAUAC